GUGGUCCAGGCAGUCGCCUGCCCGAAAGGGCGGGAGGAAAGUCCGGGCUCCACAGAGCAGGAGGGUUGCUAACGGCAACCGGGUGCGCCUCAAAGGCGCAUCCAGGGAAAGUGGCACAGAGAACAGACCGCCCGGCUUGUUUGCCUGGCCGUGACGAGGGCCCGAAAACUCGCACGGCCGGACGAAGCCCGAAAGGGUUCGGGUAAGGGUGAAAAGGUGGGGUAAGAGCCCACCGCGCGGCCGGAGACGGUCGUGGCAGGCCAAACCCCCUCCGGAGCAAGGCCAAAUAGGGACCAAGGGACUGCUCGUCCCGCUGCGAAUGUGUCGCGAGAGGUCCGGGUAGGCUGCUGGAGCGACGGGGCAACCCGCCGCCUAGACGAAUGACCGCCGCCCCGCAAGGGGAAACAAAACCCGGCUUACAAGACCACAAAG
rnacentral:RNase_P_RNA from 1 species